rnacentral:rRNA from 1 species
GACGAACGCUGGCGGCGUGCCUAACACAUGCAAGUCGAGCGGAGACUAUAGCAAUGUAGUCUUAGCGGCGGACGGGUGAGUAACGCGUGGGCAACCUACCUCAAACUGGGGGAUAACACAGGGAAACUUGUGCUAAUACCGCAUAACAUCAUGAGAAGACAUCUUUUUAUGAUCAAAGGAGUAAUCCGGUGAGAGAUGGGCCCGCGUCCAAUUAGCUAGUUGGUGAGGUAACGGCCCACCAAGGCGACGAUUGGUAGCCGAACUGAGAGGUUGAUCGGCCACAUUGGGACUGAGACACGGCCCAGACUCCUACGGGAGGCAGCAGUGGGGAAUAUUGCGCAAUGGGGGAAACCCUGACGCAGCAACGCCGCGUGAAGGAUGAAGGUUUUCGGAUUGUAAACUUCUUUGAUGAGGGACGAACAAAUGACGGUACCUCAAAAACAAGCCACGGCUAACUACGUG